rnacentral:rRNA from 1 species
AUUGAACGCUGGCGGCAGGCCUAACACAUGCAAGUCGAGCGAGCGGCGGAUGGGUGAGUAAUGCCUGGCUAUUGCCCAGUCGAGGGGGAUACUAGGUGGAAACGCUUGUUACUACCGCAUCCGAUUUGCCUGCUCAGGUGGGAUUAGCUAUUUGGUGAGGUAAUGGCUCACCAAGGCGACGUUCCCUAGCUGGUCUGAGAGGAUGAUCAGCCACACUGGAACUGAGACACGGUCCAGACUCCUACGGGAGGCAGCAGUGGGGAAUAUUGCACAAUGGGGGAAACCCUGAUGCAGCCAUGCCGCGUGUGUGAAGAAGGCCUUCGGGUUGUAAAGCACUUUCAGCGAGGAGGCGUUACUCGCAGAAGAAGCACCGGCUAACUCCGUGCCAGCAGCCGCGGUAAUAC